GGUCGUAUAGCUCAGUCGUAGAGCGCAGUGCUAAUAACGCUGUGGUCCUGGGUUCAGCGCCCAGUAUGACCC
rnacentral:tRNA from 1 species